rnacentral:rRNA from 1 species
GAUGAACGCUGGCGGCGUGCUUAACAUAUGCAAGUCGAGCGGGCAAUUUAUCUAGCACUGAUUACUUCAAAUGGAAAUCAUAGGUGUAAUCAUGAAUUUCUACCUUUAAUAAGGGAAAAAAGAAAUUCAUGUACGCAAAUAGUGAUAACACAUGAAAGUGGAGUGAUGAGUGCUGGAUAAAUUGCUAGUGGCGCACGGGGUGAGUAACGCGUGGAUAAUCUGCCCGAGGAUUUGGGGAUAACAUCUCGAAAGGGGUGCUAAUACCGAAUAAGCCCACGGGGUCUACGGAUCUUGCGGGAAAAGGGGGGGACCUUCGGGCCGUCCUGUCCUUGGAUGAGUCUGCGUACCAUUAGCUAGUUGGUGGGGUAAGUGGCCUACCAAGGCGACGAUGGUUAGCUGGUCUGAGAGGAUGAUCAGCCACACUGGAACUGAGACACGGUCCAGACUCCUACGGG